UUUCAACAUUCUUUUUUUUCUAUUGCAGUUACGAUGUGGAUUCUAAAAGUGCUAACUUAGAUAAGCAUGACUUCCUUGGAAAAUUGGAAUGUACUCUUGCAGAAAUCAUGAUAGCAAAUCGAUUUGUAAAAAGAUUGCAAGACGACACUGACUCGAGUGAGGCCAAGAAAAACAAUCAACAAGGGUAAGAU
rnacentral:lncRNA from 1 species